rnacentral:rRNA from 1 species
AUUGAACGCUGGCGGCAGGCCUAACACAUGCAAGUCGAGCGGAUGAGUGGAGCUUGCUCCAUGAUUCAGCGGCGGACGGGUGAGUAAUGCCUAGGAAUCUGCCCGGUAGUGGGGGACAACGUUUCGAAAGGAACGCUACUACCGCAUACGUCCUACGGGAGCAAGCAGGGGACCUUCGGGCCUUGCGCCAUCAGAUGAGCCUAGGGCGGAUUAGCUAGUUGGUGGGGUAAUGGCUCACCAAGGCGACGAUCCGUAACUGGUCUGAGAGGAUGGUCAGUCACACUGGAACUGAGACCCGGUCCAGACUCCUACGGGAGGCAGCAGUGGGGAAUAUUGGACAAUGGGCGAAAGCCUGAUCCAGCCAUGCCGCGUGUGUGAAGAAGGUCUUCGGAUUGUAAAGCACUUUAAGUUGGGAGGAAGGGCAGUAAGUUAAUACCUUGCUGUUUUGACGUUACCGACAGAAUAAGCACCGGCUAACUCUGUGCCAGCAGCCGCCGCGGUA